UUUUAGACUACAGAAUCUCCAAAGGAAUAUGCUUGUGAUUUUACCAUUUAUGACAGGAAUCAUGAUGGGAGUAUCCUAGAAAGUGAGUUUCUGCAGUACUCCAUCGACCAGGGUUACAGCGCUUUCCAAAGCGAGAACGUUUUCCAUAUCAUGGAUGGAAAUGACGACGGUCGGAUAGAAGUAUUUGAGUUUGUGGCAAGUUUACAGAAAUUGAAAGCAGUGUCGAUGUUGAAACCGUGCAAACGUAUGUGGAAUUGGUGGAAUAUCACAUCAUCGGGUGGAGUACGACGGAUGCGUUAAGGGACGUAGAAGAAAGCAAAUCUAUGCUUUAUAAAUUAUUAAAAAUACACUUGAAUU